rnacentral:rRNA from 1 species
GAUGAACGCUAGCGGCAGGCCUAACACAUGCCAGUCGAGGGGGAGGUUACUUUCUGUUUACUGUGACCGACGUACGGGUGCGUAACGCGUAUACAAUCUGCCUUUCACUGGGGGAUGGCCCGAAUAAAUUUGGUUUAAUACCCCCUAGUAUAGUAAUACGGCAUCGUGAUGCUGUUAAGGCUUAGGUGGUGAAAGAUGAGUAUGCGUUCUAUUAGCUAGUUGGUGAGGUAACGGCUGCCCAAGGAGAUGAUAGAUAGGGGUUCUGAGAGGGAUGUCCCCCAGAGGGGGACUGAGAUACGGACCAGACUCCUACGGGAGGCAGUCGUGAGGGAGACUGGAGAAUGGUCGGUAGACUGAUCCAGCCAUGCCGCGUGCAGGAAGAAGGUCUUAUGGAUUGUAAACUGCUUUUGUAAGGGAAGAAUAAGGGGUACGCGUAGUUUGAUGACGGUACCUGACGAAUAAGCAUCGGCUAACUCCGUG